AUUGAACGCUGGCGGCAGGCCUAACACAUGCAAGUCGAGCGGAUGAAGAGAGCUUGCUCUCUGAUUCAGCGGCGGACGGGUGAGUAAUGCCUAGGAAUCUGACUGGUAGUGGGAGACAACGUUUCGAAAGGAACGCUAAUACCGCAUACGUCCUACGGGAGAAAGUGGGGGAUCUUCGGACCUCACGCUAUCAGAUGAGCCUAGGUACGAUUAGCUAGUUGGUGAGGUAAAGGCUCACCAAGGCGACGAUGGUUAACUGGUCUGAGAGGAUGAUCAGUCACACUGGAACUGAGACACGGUCCAGACUCCUACGGGAGGCAGCAGUGGGGAAUAUUGGACAAUGGGCGAAAGCCUGAUCCAGCCAUGCCGCGUGUGUGAAGAAGGUCUUCGGAUUGUAAAGCACUUUAAGUUGGGAGGAAGGGCAGUAAGUUAAUACCUUGCUGUUUUGACGUUACCGACAGAAUAAGCACCGGCUAACUUCGUGCCAGCCGCCGCCGUAACAC
rnacentral:rRNA from 1 species